GGAGGGUGCAAGCGUUGUCCGGAAUUAUUGGGUGUAAAGGGUGCGCAGGCGGAAGCCUAAGUCGAGGGUGAAAGACGGCCGCUCAACGGUCGCCGUGCCUUCGAUACUGGGUUUCUUGAGUUCAGAAGAGGUUGGUGGAAUUCGUGGUGUAGCGGUGAAAUGCAUAGAGAUCACUAAGAACACCGGUGGCGAAGGCGGCCAACUGGUCUGAUACUGACGCUGAGGCACGAGAGCGUGGGUAGCGAACAGGAUUAGAUACCCUGGUAGUCCACGCUGUAAACGAUGUAUGCUAGAUGUUGGUCCUUCGGGGCCAGUGUCGUAGUUAACGCGCUAAGCAUACCACCUGGGGAGUACGUUCGCAAGAAUG
rnacentral:rRNA from 1 species